rnacentral:rRNA from 1 species
AACGCUAGCUACAGGCUUAACACAUGCAAGUCGAGGGGUAACGAGAGAAAAGCUUGCUUUUCUUGUCGACGACCGGCGCACGGGUGAGUAACGCGUAUCCAACCUGCCCACCACUUGGGGAUAACCUUGCGAAAGUAAGACUAAUACCCAAUGACGUCUCUAGAAGACAUCUGAAGGAGAUUAAAGAUUUAUCGGUGAUGGAUGGGGAUGCGUCUGAUUAGCUUGUUGGCGGGGUAACGGCCCACCAAGGCGACGAUCAGUAGGGGUUCUGAGAGGAAGGUCCCCCACAUUGGAACUGAGACACGGUCCAAACUCCUACGGGAGGCAGCAGUGAGGAAUAUUGGUCAAUGGACGAGAGUCUGAACCAGCCAAGUAGCGUGCAGGAUGACGGCCCUAUGGGUUGUAAACUGCUUUUAUAAGGGAAUAAAGUGAGUCUCGUGAGACUUUUUGCAUGUACCUUAUGAAUAAGGACCGGCUAAUUCCGUGCCAGCAGCCGCGGUAAUACGGAGGAUCCGAGCGUUAUCCGGAUUUAUUGGGUUUAAAGGGAGCGUAGGCGGACGCUUAAGUCAGUUGUGAAAGUUUGCGGCUCAACCGUAUAAUUGCAGUUGAUACUGGGUGUCUUGAGUACAGUAGAGGCAGGCGGAAUUCGUGGUGUAGCGGUGAAAUGCUUAGAUAUCACGAAGAACUCCGAUUG